AGCAGGCGCGUAAAUUGCCCGAAUCCUGACACAGGGAGGUAGUGACAAGAAAUAACGAUACAGGGCUACAUCUAGUCUUGUAAUUGGAAUGAGUACAAUUACGUCUCUUAACGAUGAUCAAUUGGAGGGCAAGUCAGGUGCCAGCAGCCGCGGUAAUUCCAGCUCCAAUAGCGUAUAUCAAAGUUGUUGCAGUUAGAACGCUCGUAGUCGGAUUUCGGGGCGUUCCGACCGGUCUGCCGAUGGGUAUGCACUGGCCGGAGUGUCCUUUUUGCCGGAGACCGUGCCUACUCUUAACUGAGCGGGGGCGGGAGACGGCACUUUUACUUUGAAAAAAUCAGAGUGUUUCAAGCAGGCAGCUCGCUCUUGCAUGGAUUAGCAUGGGAUAAUGAAAUAGGACUUUGGUGCUAUUUUGUUGGUUUCGAACACCGAAGUAAUGAUGAGAAGGGACAGUCAGGGGCACUCGUAUUCCGCAGAGAGAGGUGAAAUUCUCAGACCCGCGGAAGACGAACCACUGCGAAAGCAUUUGCCAGGGAUGUUUUCACUGAUCAAGAACGAAAGUUAGGGGAUCGAAGAUGAUCAGAUACCGUCGUAGUCUUAACCAUAAACCAUGCCGACUAGGGAUUGGAGGAUGUUCACUGAUUGACUCCUUCAGCACCUUACGGGAAACUAAAGUCUUUGGGUUCCGGGGGGAGUAUGGUCGCAAGGCUGAAACUUAAAGGAAUUGACGGAAGGGCACCACCAGGUGUGGAGCCUGCGGCUUAAUUUGACUCAACACGGGGAAACUUACCAGGUCCAGACAUUGUGAGGAUUGACAGAUUGAGAGCUCUUUCAUGAUUUAAUGGGUGGUGGUGCAUGGGCCGUUCUUAGUUGGUGGAGUGAUUUGUCUGGUUAAUUCCGUUAACGAACGAGACCUUAGCCUGCUAAAUAGUGACGCGAACUCUUUGUUGGCGGUCCACUUCUUAGAGGGACAACUUGUCUUCAACAAGUGGAAGUUUGAGGCAAUAACAGGUCUGUGACGCCCUUAGAUGUUCUGGGCCGCACGCGCGUUACACUGAUGCACUCAACGAGUCUCCACCUUGACCGAGAGGUCCGGGAAACCUUCGAACUUGCAUCGUGAUGGGGAUAGAUUAUUGCAACUAUUAAUCUUCAACGAGGAUACCUAGUAGGCGCAUGGUCAUCAGCGCGCGUUGA
rnacentral:rRNA from 1 species